rnacentral:ncRNA from 1 species
AAAAUGGCAAAACUGUCGAAAGGCAGUGACGCAAAGCUAUAGGGUCUAAUGCGUAAGCGAUGACAGCCAGUUGCAG